rnacentral:rRNA from 1 species
GACGAACGCUGGCGGCGCGCUUAACACAUGCAAGUCGAGCGAUGAAACUUUAACAGAACCCUUCGGGGCGAAGAGAGUGGGGAUUAGCUGCGGACGGGUGAGUAACAUGCGAUUAAGCUGCCUUAGACAUUGGGAUAGCCUCGGUAAACCGGCAUAAAUACCAAAUAAAAACAUAAUGACACAUGUCAUAACGAGCAAAAGUCCGGUGGUCUAAGAUGGACUCGCGUCGCAUUAGCUAGUUGGUAGAGUAAAAGCCUACCAAGGCGAGGAUGGGUAGCCGGGCUGUGAGGGAGAACCGAGACAUUGGAGCUGAGCAACGGUCCAAACUCUUACGGGAUGGGGGAGUGGGGAAUACAGCCAUAUGGAGGGAACUAAGAUGCCGCGACGCCGGGAGAACGAAGAAGGCUUUCGAGAAGUAAAGUUCUUUUAUAUGGGACGGUACUGACGGUACCAAAAGAAAAAGCCCCGGCUAACUACGUG